CGAACGCUGGCGGCGUGCUUAACACAUGCAAGUCGAGCGGUAAGGCCCUUUCGGGGGUACACGAGCGGCGAACGGGCGAGUAACACGUGGGUGACCUGCCCUCAGCUCUGGGAUAAGCCUGGGAAACCGGGUCUAAUACUGGAUAUGACUCCAUGACGCAUGUUGUGGGGUGGAAAGCCUUGUGCGGCUGAGGAUGGGCCCGCGGCCUAUCAGCUUGUUGGUGGGGUGAUGGCCUACCAAGGCGACGACGGGUAGCCGGCCUGAGAGGGCGACCGGCCACACUGGGACUGAGACACGGCCCAGACUCCUACGGGAGGCAGCAGUGGGGAAUCUUGCGCAAUGGGCGAAAGCCUGACGCAGCGACGCCGCGUGAGGGAUGACGGCCU
rnacentral:rRNA from 1 species